rnacentral:rRNA from 1 species
GGUGAACGCUGGCGGCGUGCUUAAGACAUGCAAGUCGAACGGCAGUCUUCGGACUGUAGUGGCGCACGGGUGAGUAACGCGUAACUGACCUACCCCAAAGUCGCGGAUAACGAUUCGAAAGAAUCGCUAAUACGUGAUGUGCUGUCAGAUUGUGUUCUGCCAGUAAAGAUUGAUUGCUUUGGGAUGGGGUUGCGUUCCAUCAGCUAGUUGGUGGGGUAAAGGCCCACCAAGGCGACGACGGAUAGCCGGCCUGAGAGGGUGGCCGGCCACAGGGGCACUGAGACACGGGUCCCACGUCUACGGGGGGAAGCAGUUAGGAAUCUUCCACAAUGGGCGAAAGCCUGAUGGAGCGACGCCGCGUGAGGGAUGAAGGUCUUCGGAUCGUAAACCUCUGAAUCAGGGACGAAAGACACUUCGGUGGGAUGACGGUACCUGAGUAAUAGCACCGGCUAACUCCGUGCCAGCCGCCGCCGUAAUAC